rfam:Oceanimonas sp. GK1, complete genome.
CGAGCUGGCCGGACAAUCGCUGCCUCGUCGUGGUGCCUUUGGCAGACGGGCGAGGGGGAGGAAAGUCCGGGCUCCACAGGGCAGGGUGCCAGGUAACGCCUGGGGGGCGUGAGCCCACGACCAGUGCAGCAGAGAGCAGACCGCCGAUGGCCUUCGGGCACAGGUAAGGGUGAAAGGGUGCGGUAAGAGCGCACCGCGCGGCUGGUAACAGUCCGUGGCACGGUAAACUCCACCCGGAGCAAGACCAAAUAGGCCUCCUACAGGCGCGGCCCGCGCUGGAGGCGGGUAGGUUGCUGGAGCCGGCGAGCGAUUGCCGGCCUAGAGGAAUGAUUGUCAAUCGGGCUUGCCCGAUACAGAACCCGGCUUACAGGCCAGCUCACCUU